UAGGGGGAAUAGCGUGCUUGCCGUUUUCUCGGCCAUUACAACGUUGGACUUGACUACAACACUGCGUCCUCGUUGUUAUUUCUAUGGGCCUACCCCCCUCACAGGGGCGUAACGCAGCCGGAGAGGAGUCACGGAGGAGGCAGUCAGACAGCUGGAAAAGGAUGUCGAUGAGAUCCUGCUGGAGCGUCAAAUUUUCGGCAGCGACUCGGACACUAGCGAAGAGGAGGGGACCCCCCUUGUUUCAACGGAGUCGACAGGAGCUCCCUCACAGCUGCCCAUUCCCUGCAUCCUGGUCGAGGAAGGACUGGAUCACCUCCUUCAUGGAGCGCAGUAGCAGCCUCCCCCUUCAGCGUCCAGAGGCCACUAGCCAACAACGGUUGUCCAGCUUCAAUCAAAACAAUGUCAACUUGUUCUACCAAAAUUGAAAGACGGUUGACUGGCACCAGUUCCAGGCCAAGGAUAUUUGGAACAUUAAUGAAACCGGGGUCACCACUGUCCGGGUGCCAGACCGUGUCGUCGCCCAGAUGGGGCAGAAGCAGGUCAGGUCAGUGACCUCAGCGGAGAGGUGGACCCUGGUCCCAGUUGCCCUGGCAUGCAAUGCGCAGGGCGACCUUGUUCCGCCAUUCUUUAUCUUCCCCCGUAAGUGGUUCGAAGACCACUUCCUGAGGGGUGGACCCGUUGGCUGUGCUGGCACCGCCAACCCAACUGGCUGGAGGAAGGAGCCAGACUUCCUCCUGUACCUGGCCCACUUCACUAGUCACACCCGUGUCCAAGGAGUCGAAGCUGCUCCGCCUGCUGGACAAUCACCCGUCCCACCUGUCAAUUGCAGCAAUCGAUUACUGCAGAGCCAAAGGCAUAGUGCUGCUGUCAUUCCCUCCCCACUGCACCCGCAGGUUGCAGCCAAUGGACAUUAGUGUCUUCGGCCCCCUAAAGGGGUACAUAAACAAUGCGGCGGACAGGUGGAUGAGGAGCCACCAAGGGAUCAACAUCUCGAUUUAUGAUGUGCCCACCAUCGUUGCUGAAGCCUUACCAGAGGCUGCAACAGUGAAGAACAUCACUUCCGGGUCAGGAAGAGGAAGAGGCAAAGUGAGGCAAAGCCAAUAAUAAAUAUAAAAGAUAAAGAUACAAUGUCAAUCCUGGGCAUAAAGUUCAGUAAGAACGAUUGUUAUGGAGAAAACUGGAAUGAAAAAGAUAAAGAAAUUAAAGAAGAACUGGAUAAAUGGGAAAAUAAAUCAUGUAGCUAUAGGGCCAAGAUAUUAAUCAUAAAAAAUGUGUUGUGUCAAAGCUGCUUGUUAAUUUCAUUUGGGGAACCACAAGGGAGGUAACAAAGAGAGAGCUUUUAUAUAAAAACAAAAAAAACGAGGGGCUCGGAGCUGGGGGCUAAAAUUGAGAAUUGCAUUUUGUAAAAAUAUUGCAUCUGGUUUUAAAAGAAAGGCUGUUUGGAUAGGUGAGGCCUUGAGCUGGACCAAAAGAGGGGUCGUGCUAGAAGUUCACUGCCUUAUUUUAAAGUAAUGUAUUCAAAUAAAAAAAAAAACUUUAUUUAUCCCCAGGGGGCAAUUGAGGGCACAUAGCAGCAGCAUUACAAAGGACAGGGCCAUGUCCAAACAAAAAACAAACAAAAACAAACAAAAACAAACACGGCUUCACCAGUCCAUGUGAGGAGGGCACAAGCCCGGGUGGGGGGUUUAGGAGGAGUUGAGGAGGUGAACAGCCUUGGGAACAAAGGUUGCUUUUCUCCUCUGUGUCCUACAGCCGAGGCAGCGUAGUCGGCGCCCUGAGGGGAGCCACUCAAAGGCGGGGUGUAGAGCGUGUGAGGGGUCCUGCAUAAUUAUUUUGGCUAACCGGAGUGUUUGCUGGUCAUGGAUGGAGGAGAGAGUUCUUAUUGAAAGUCCAAUUAUUUUAGAGCAAACUCUGGCCGUACUCUCCAGGCGGUUUCUGUUUUGGAGGGUGAUGGAGUGGAACCAGCAAGUUAUAGAAAAUGUACAGAUGCUUUCAAUGAAGGAGUAAUAGAAAGUAAGCAGUAUGUUUUUGCUGACUCCAAAGGAAUUUAGUUUCCUUAAGAGAUACUUCCGCUGAUGACACUUCCUAAGGAUCUCUUCAGUGUUGGAGGAGAAUUUGUGGUGAUCUAUGGUGAUCUUAUGGAGAAAUCGGUACAUCUGAAUAUUGACUGGCUUGGAACACUCGGUAAAAACAUAUAUACUAUUGUGUGUAAUGACUUAUAUGGUGACAUUUUCCCCUAUAAAUAUCUAGAUGAUGCUGAAAAGCAGGUGUCUGAAAAACCUUUGUAGCAAAACUCUAUCUGAAAAAAAGAGAGACGUAAUGUGGCUGGCCUCAGUAAGGAGACUAGCAGUUAGAGCAGUGGUAAAGUGGAGCUGUUUCGUUAAAACUGUUCAAUGCCCGAUUCAUAAUUGUGAAGAAGAUGAAUCAGUUGAGCACGUUCUUGUAGACUGCCAGAGAUCACAGUAUGUCUGGGGGAAAAUGUCACGGAUUGGUUUUAACGUUAAUAUCACAUUUAAGGCUGCUAUGUAUGGAGUUUUCGAGGAACGCAUGUCUGCCAUGGAUCAGGACUUUUAUUGUUCCGUGGUGUGCACCGUCAUCAACAAACUGUGGAACACUAGGUGCGCCAUGGUUAUGCAACAGGAAUCCAUCUCAGGAGAGGUGGUAUUCAAACAGAUUCAAACUGAGCUAAAAAGACAACGAACUCUUGACUCCAGAGAAAAAAGAAUGAGACCAUGGCACUUAUUGACAUUGUGAAACUAUUCAAAUGUGUUGUAUUCAAAUGUGUAUUUUCUUGAAUUGAAUUGUAAAACCUGCAUAAUUUAAAUAAAAUG